AGAGUCUGUCAUCCCGUUGUCAUUAGUUUCUGUUACUACUUCACUCUCCCUCUGUCUUCAAGAAAUGGAUCGUAGAAGUGCAUUUGCCGUUGCUUUGAUUUGCUUUGUGGUGACCGCUGUCGGUGGUCAAUCUCCGGCAGCCUCACCUACUAAAGCUCCGCCGGCAGCGACUACUCCUGCCACUGCUCCCGCUACUGCCCCUGUUAGCAAACCUAAAUCACCGGCUCCAACUGCUGCCCCUACCACUUCCCCACCAACUUCUUCACCACCGGCUGCGGCUCCGGAGAAGUCUGCGGCGGUUCCAGCCCCAUCUAAAUCUGCUCCGGCUUCUUCUCCUCCGGCUGCUGCUCCGGUGAGUUCUCCACCGGCUCCAGUACCUGUGAGCUCUCCUCCAGCCAAAUCGCCUCCCGUUGCUGCACCGACGACUCCACCAGAGAGCUCGGCCUCUCCUCCGGCUCUUGUUGCGGCACCAACUACUGCUGAGGUUCCGGCCCCAGCUCCAAGCAAGAGCAAGAGCAAAAGCAAGAAAUCCAAGAAACACCAUGCUCCGGCUCCUUCACCUGAUAUGCUUGGACCUCCCGCUCCACCAACUGGAGCUCCUGGACCUAGCCUCGAUGCUUCCUCUCCCGGUCCAUCUGUCGCUGCCGAUGAGGUACAUUCUCUUCUCUUUACUAACGCUUCAGUAGCUUACAUCAUAUAACAAUGCGCUUUCAGAUCUGAACUUUUACACUGCAUAAAUGUAGAGAGAUCUUGUUUUUCUUUUAAUCGCGUCUAAAGGAUGCACCGUUGAGCUAGUUCAUUUACUUUUCUGAAAAAGGACCGACCAAUGGAUCUUUUUUUCAUCUUAAAACUAUAUUUAUUUGUAACAUUUAAAGAGUUAUUAUUAACAAAUGCAGAGUGGAGCAGCGGCAAUGAAGAACAUGAAGAAGAUAAUUGGAGGGUUGGCGUUGGGAUGGGCAGCCAUUGCUUUGAGCUUCUAGAUUGGUUUUGAUCACAUUCCACAUUCUGCGUUCUAAUUCUUUGGUUGGUGUACUGAGAGGCGGAAACUCUAGUUUUUUUUUCCUAUGUAAUUUCCACCAUUCUUUUUUUUUCCCCUUCAUUUACCCAUUUUCUGUCUUUUAUUUCUCUAUUAUAUUUUAAUAAAAUCACAAUUUAUUUUACUAAUACCAAUGCUAAUGAAUCUCAAGAUCAUUUGUGCAGGUUAAACAUUGUAAAAGUAACAAAACUGAAACGAUCAUAUAGCUCAUGAACCAUUACAGGGAAAUUGGUUAGACAAUGUUCCAAUGAAAGUACAGGAAAGCUUAAAAUGGCAGCAAAUGCAUAUCUUACAAAUCAAUCUGAAUAUUUAGUUUAAUCUGAAAGAACAGUUUUGAGUAAAAAGUAAUUAGGCAUGGGGGCAUAAACCAGGAGAGACGUUAUUCAUUGGUUCCUAUCGUCUUCUCCCCCGGCUGCAAACACCAGACAGACUUACAUGUAUGAAACUUCUUACAUUCACAAUUGCCACGUAUCAGAAGAAGCACUUCACAAGAGGACUCUACAAAUUAAAAAUUCUCUUUUUCUCUACAACAAAACCCUGUAAAAUGUAAGCCCAAGCAGCAAACCUUCAAAAUGCAUUAUUUGAAGCAUCAAAUGUAUACAAACUGUAUUAGACCCAAUGCCUACUUUCAAGCGUGAUUCGUCCUUAAUUCUAAAGCUUUUAAUUUUAUUGGUUAAUAUUGGUGUUUUUGUCGUUUUCCCAUCAACCCAAAGCCAAAAGCAUGCAAAUUCCCUUCACUUGGAAUAUGGAGAUGGUAAAGUAGAAAAGUAUUCAUAAUACGCUAUGAUAUAUAUAUGCGUGUGUGCGUGUAAAUGGCCACUAUGAAGCGUGUGUGCGUGUAAAUGGCCACUAUGAAGCUUUCUUAUUUGCUCGAAAAAGAAGGCAAAUAUUAAUUAAUAAUAUAUAAUAUUUGGCAUUCAUUAAUAAGACUCAGUGAAAUAAAUAAUUAAGAUAAUAUAAUUAAUUUAAUAUAUACCAGGUUGAUUUAUCCAUUUAUGCUGAAAAAAAAAUCUACAUUUAAUUAUCUAUGUUUUUUUUUUAAUUUAUCAAUGUUGUUUUGAAGAGAGAAAGGAAAGCACGUCUUACAUGGUGCAUUUUCACUGUCUAUGUCAUUGAAAAUGCGUCUUAUAGGGCGUAUUUUUAGCUACGUCAGCUGAACAUGUGUCAUGUUUUCACAAAUUGACAAUUUAGCUCUUUUGAUCAGAUGGUUAAGCGUUAGUGUUUUUAGUCUUUAAGUCUUAGGUUCAAUUCCUCUCCUAUUCAUUUUUAUAAUUUUUAUUUCAUGUUAUUUUAAGUUUUUUUUAAUUAAUAUUUUUGACACAUUAGCUCUUUUGGUUAGAUGAUUAGAUAAUUGUGAUUUCUUCUUUCAGUCCUAAGUUUGAUUCCUUUUAUAAGAAUUUUAAUAUGUAUUUUUUAUUUCAAUUUUUUUAUUAUUUUUAAUUAAUAUUUUUAAUUAAUAAAUAUAUUGUUUUCAAGUUUUUUUAUUUUUUAUUUAUCUUUUUAAUUAAUAACUCUUUUAUUUAUAAAAUCAAAUAAUUAUUGAAAAUAUCAUUAUUUUUAGUAAAUAUAAUUUUUAUUUGUGUAAUUUUUAUCUUUCAAUCCAUAUCAUGAAUGUAGUAAAUUGACAUAUUAUAUAUUUUUGUAUAAUGUAUGAUGAUGAUGAAUAGAUAUAAAUUUAUUAUAUAUGACAAUCCAAUAAUAUAUUCUACGAUUCAUACAAUAUAUGAUGAUGAUGUAUAGAUAAUGAUUGUGGAAGGGUCGAGCUUUAUAGCAUUGAAGAAGAAUAUAGAUCGGCGAUAUUUUAAAACCGAAAAAUCUAUAUUGUGAUGCUGUGCAAAAUAAUAGGAGUGAGCAAAAUUCAUUUGAUCCAAAAAAAUUAAAUUUUGAGUUAAUUGAAUCGAGUUAUUUGAAUUAUUCAAGUCAACUCGAGUAAGUAAUUCGAGUUUCGAGUUCGAAUCGAGUUGAAUUUUACAAUUAAAAUAACUCGAAUAAUUCGAAUAACAUAUUGGUAUAAAUACCUUUUUGGUCUCUGCCAAGUUUGAAAAUGAACAAAUUGACCUCUCUCUCAAUAAAAAUUACAAAAUAAUUUUAAAAUUUCAAAAUAUUUAUAAAAAUUCCAAAUUUAUACUUUUUAAAAAUUAUAAAAAUUUCAAAAAAAAAUCUGAAAAAAUAUAAAGAAAGUUAAAAUAUUAAAAUUUUUCUAGAAUAAUAAUUUUGGGACCUAAAUAAGUUAAUUAAUGAUUCAAGUUUAUCAUACUAAAGUAAUUUUUUUAUUCUGCUUUGAAAAAGUUUUCAAAUAUAUAUGGUUUCAAAUGUAAGUGUUAUAACAUGGAAUUAGUUAUAGUAUAACAAGAUUUUAAUUUAACAUGUUUAAUUUUUUAAUUUAACUCGAACAAUUUCAUUCGAAUUGACUCGAAUUUUAUUUUACUCAAUUCAAUUUGAAAAAAAUUUAAAUCGAGUUAGAAUGAUAAAAUAAAACUCGUUAACUCAAUUAACUCAAAAAUUUUUAAUAGAGACAGUGGAAUACUCACUUUUACAUAAUAAUGUACCGAGAGAGGCCAAAGGGUGGAGGUGAAAUAAUUACACAACUCAACUAUUUUGCAAAACUUUUUUUAAAACUCUAAUAUAUAGAUGAUAAAAAAAAGCCUUAGCCACUUGACAAUUUUUAACGAAAAGAGAGAAGGUUAGGGUGUUUAAGUAUAAUACACGUCACGUUACUCCAGACAAGUUUUGCUUGCAGAGACACAGUUUCUUGCCGGUGAGUCGGUGACCCAUCUCAAAAUAUCACCCGUAACUGCUUUACCCGGUCACGCGGCCGCCUCCUAUUGGUUUGUCUCUUUGCGCAGCCAUAGCCCACUCUCCCUACGUCCAGCUGUCUCACUACUUCAUAACAAUUGUAUCAUUCAAUUAGUUAUUGUAGGUUUAAUUUUUUCCAACCCCUUUACUCUUUCAGCUUUUAAAUUUUAAUCUAUCACCUUUUAAUUCCCUAUCUCUCCUGCUUGAUUUAAAAAUUAAAAUUUAAUUAAUAACAUUUCCAUUCAAUUUAAAUAUAUAUUAUUAUUAUUUUUAGAUCAAAGCUUCGAAUAUUAAAAUUUAACCAAGUUUUCAUGAAUUGGACUUUUAAAUAAAAAUGAAGAGAAACUAAAUUUUUAAAAUCAAAAGUAGGAAGGCUAAAUUUUAAAACCCCAAAGAGUAUAGGGGUUGGGGAUAGAAUUAAACAUUUAUUAUAAUAUUAAUUAGUAGGGUAAACUACACCUAAGGUCACUAAAUUAUUAGUAAAUUCAUAUUUUGGUCACUUAACUUUAAAAAAUUACAACAUGGUCACUGAAUUAUUCAAAAGUAUUUAUUUAAGUCAUUGAGUUGUUAAGUAUUUUUUUAUGACGAUUGAUACAAUGGAUUAGUACCUAUGAAGAGUAGAACAUACCUUGUAAGAGAUCGAAAAAGAAAACUGUUUGAAUUUUGAUUCGUAAAUUCAUAACAUUUAAAGUUGCUCCACGAAAAUAAUUAAAUUGUUGAAGAGAAGAAGAAUGAGAUUUUAUGAUUGGUGCAGACCGUGUGUAUAAAGAAAGUUAUCCAACAGCGAUUUAAUAGCCCAAUGAAUUAAAUAAAAUCCUUCGAAUGAUUUAGUGACUAUUUUCUAACUUUUUGAAGUUGAACGACUUAAAUGUAAAUUUAUUAAUACUUCAGUGACCUUGGGUGUAGUUUACCCUACUCAGGUAAUGUAACAACAAAUUACAUGGUUCAUGUAUGUGGGCCCCCAAUCCAGACUGUCGAGUCUUGAUCGCCACAUUACAAUUUGAUGACGGUGGGCCCCGAAAUAGCUUCUCAUCCAACGGCUAUUUCUGAUCCAAACACGUUCCUAACUUUUUCUUCUUUUCUUUUUAUAAUCAUCAUUUUUUCUGAUUCUCUCCCUCAUUUAUUUAUAUAUUUAUUGAGAGUCUGUCGUCUCGUUGUCAUUAGUUUCUGUUACUACUUCACUCUCCCUCUGUCUUCAAGAAAUGGAUCGUAGAAGUGCAUUUGCAGUUGCUUUGAUUUGCUUUGUGGUAACCGCUGUCGGUGGUCAAUCUCCGGCAGCCUCACCUACUAAAGCUCCGCCGGCCGCGGCUACUCCUGCUACUGCUCCCGCUACUGCCCCUGUUAGCAAAUCUAAAUCACCGGCUCCAACUGCUGCCCCUACCACUUCCCCACCAACUUCUUCACCACCGGCUGCGGCUCCGGAGAAGUCUGCGGCGGUUCCAGCCCCAUCUAAAUCUGCUCCGGCUUCUUCUCCUCCGGCUGCUGCUCCGGUGAGUUCUCCACCUGCUCCAGUACCUGUGAGCUCUCCUCCAGCCAAAUCGCCUCCCGUUGCUGCACCGACGACUCCACCAGAGAGCUCGGCCUCUCCUCCGGCUCCUGUUGCUGCACCAACUACUGCUGAGGUUCCGGCCCCAGCUCCAAGCAAGAGCAAGAGCAAAAGCAAGAAAUCCAAGAAACACCAUGCUCCGACUCCUUCACCUGAUAUGCUUGGACCUCCCGCUCCACCAACUGGAGCUCCUGGACCUAGCCUCGAUGCUUCCUCUCCCGGUCCAUCUGUCGCUGCCGAUGAGGUACAUUCUUUUUCUUUACUAACGCUUCAGUAGCUUACAUCAUAUAACAAUGCGCUUUCAGAUCCGAACUUUUACACUGCAUAAAUGUAGAGAGAUCUUGUUUUUCUUUUAAUCGCGUCUAAAGGAUGCACCGUUGAGCUAGUUCAUUUACUUUUCUGAAAAAGGACCGACCAACGGAUCUUUUUUUCAUGUAACAUUUAAAGAGUUAUUGUAAACAAAUGCAGAGUGGAGCAGAGGCAAUGAAGAACAUGAAGAAGAUAAUUGGAGGGUUGGCGUUGGGAUGGGCAGCCAUUGCUUUGAGCUUCUAGAUUUGUUUUGAUCACAUUCCACAUUCUGCGUUGUAAUUCUUUGGUUGGUGUACUGAGAGGCGGAAACUCUAGUUUUUUGUCCUUUGUAAUUUCCACUAUUCUUGUUUUUAUCCCUUCAUUUACCCAUUUUCUGUCUUUUAUUUUUCGAUUAUAUAAUAAAAUCACAAUUUAUUUUACUAAUACCAAUGCUAAUGAAUCUCAAGAUCGUUUGUGCGGGUUAAACAUUGUAAAAGUAACAAAACUGAAACGAUCAUAUAUAGCUCAUGAUUACAGGGAAAAAAGGAGCUGUUUGGUUAGACAAUGUUCCAAUAAAAGUACAGAAAAGCUUAAAAUGGCAGCAAAUGCAUAUCUUACAAAUCAAUCUGAAUAUUUAGUUUAAUCUGAAAGAACAGUUUUGAGUAAAAAAUAAUUAGGCAUGAGGGCAUAAACCAGGACAGACGUUAUUCAUUGGUUUCUAUCGUCUUCUCCCCCGGCUGCAAACACCAGACAGACUCACAUGUAUGAAACUUCUUACAUUCACAAUUGCCACGUAUCAGAAGAAGCACUUCACAAGAGGACUCUACAAAUUAAAAAUUCUCUUUUUCUCUACAACAAAAACCCUGUAAAAUGUAAGCCCAAGCAACAAACCCUCAAAAUGCAUUAUUUGAAGCAUCAAACGUAUACAAACUGUAUUAGACCCAAUGCCUACUUUCAGCCUCUUCCAGCACUACCAUGUCGUUGGUUCCUGAAGUAGCUCAGAAGUGCCUGUGCCUGUGAUCAACUCAUGCUUAAAUAAUGGUAAAGAAGAAAGGUUUAGUGAGAAAUAAAAGAAAAAAGAACAGCAGAACUAUUACCUUCUCUUUAGCUCUUGGGGUGCCAGUCUGGGACAAUGCCACUAGUGGUGGAACAGCUCCUUCUUGGAGAACCAUAUUGCAAAACCUACCACUGGUUGUGCAGAGUUGUAAAAGGGCAGCGGCAGCAUUUUCCUUUCCUCUCGCUGAGCCCAACUCAACAACCUCGACCAGCACAGGAAUCCCACCCUCCUGCCCAAUAGCAUUCCUCCCUUCAGGAAUUGUAGCAAGAUUAGCCAAAACAGCAACUGCCUUAUCAACCAUUCCAGCUGCUGGGUCCAUCAAGUCCACAAGGUGUCUUACAGCACCGGCUUGCACAAUUCGAGCCUUGUUUUCGUGAAAUAUUGACAGAUUAAACAAAGCGGUAGCUGCAUCUUUCUUUCCCCUAGGGGUACCAUUCCCCAAUAAAUCAACAAGAGGCUUGAUUGCCCCAGACCUUCCAAUCUUGACUUUGUUAUCCUCAAUGACUGAAAGGCUGAAGAGAGUGGCAGCUGAGUUUUCUUUAGCUUCAGGGCUUCCUGUCUCAAGGACAUGAAUCAGAGGCUCAAUUGCAUCGGCAUCAGCAAUUGCUGUUUUGUUGUUAUCAUUAAUUGACAAGUUAAGAAGUGCUGUAACAGCAUUUUCCUGAGUCUUCGUAUCCGGUGAAUGAAGCAAAUCAACUACCAAGACAAUGGCCCCACAGUUCGCUAUUAUAAUCCGAUUAUCCAUAUUGUGCUUAGCAAGUAACCUGAGUUGAGCUGUGGCCUCUCUUUGAGUAUCAACUGAAGUGCACUUCAAGUCCUCCACUAACUUCUUAACCUGGGCUUCAAUGCCAGAAAGGUCAGCCCUGUUCUCAACACCAGGAGAAGAAACUAUUCUUGGAAUGAACCUUUCCGAUGGCCGGCGCCAGAUUGUUUGGCUUCGCGAUCGUGUAUCCAUCAACCGAGGAGGAAACUGAGGUUCUCUUUGUGGAAUGGCUGAGCUAACUCUAGGCUGUGCAUCAGAUUUCACCUCUCCAGAAGCAUCACUAUUGUAGGCUGCGAGAUGAGUUGAACCCUCAGAAGUCUCAUUGGCAUCUCCAACAGCUCCUCGAGGAGAAUCUGGAUUAGGAAGUGCACUAGAGGCUGAGACAGAUCUUGUGUGGUUCUGAGAUGACUGACCAAUAUUGUUAGAAGGUGACACAGGGGGUUCACCAACAGAAUCGCUAUACCUUUGUUCCAACUUUGACCUGUCUUCCACACUGUUUAGUGAUAUUCUUGCAACAUCCAAACCCGCUCCAUUUCCAGCUAUAGCUGGCAAGGAACUUUCUGAGGUAGAAAGAGGAUGUAGUGGGGAGGUUCCCUUGUGAUGAAGUCCGCCGGAUGUGACUAGGUUCUUACCAGCUUGACCUCUAGACCGUGACUCAGGUGACAAUGGUUGGCUGCUUCUAGGGGGAGGAAAACUAUUUGAAUCCCUUGGCAAGCCAGACUCUGCGUGCACAAGAAGGGGGUAGGAUUGGUCUAAACUGAUGGACUUUGUGGGAUUAGGCAACUUCACAUUGUUUGACUCGCACCAAUUUGCAAUUAGUGCCUUUACUGUGUAAUUAGGUAUAAGAGUGGUAUGAGCCAAAGUUUGCCGUGUCUUGGGGCACACAGUGAGCCCAAGACUAAUCCAGUUCUUGAUGAAAGCCCGCUCAUAGGUUUGGCCAGAUGCCACAAUCACUGGAUCAGUCAUUAGCUCUAGGGAAAGGGGGCAGCAGAAAUCAGCAGGUAUUGGAACUGGGCUACAGGUCUCAGAUUGUUUCAUUGAUACAAGACGAUCAUGCAUGCGAUUUACAAGAGCAAUAAUUUGAUCAAUAAACUCAGCUUCUGCAGUUUUUUCAGCUUGUUCAGCAUUCUCCUUCAACUUUUCAAGGGCCACAGCCUCUAUCAGAAUCUCCUGGUUUGACCUCAAACUCAAGUUCUCUGCAAUUUUCACUAUUAUGUCCGAGGAUGGUCCAACACUAUCCACUUGAUCCCGUAUGGCUUCCCUGAUGACAGAUGAUGCUUGCUCAUAUGCUACAUGCUUAAUUUUCUGCAAGCAGUGCUGCAAUCAAUUGCUAAUAGUUAAACAUCCUGAAAUGUGGAAUCCCCCUUAGCAUUCUUUGAACUCAGAAAUUAAAUCAAAAUGAAAGCUGCAUAUUUUUUCACAUCUCACAACUGUAUACUUAGAUGCCAUUCACGCUCCAAUACAUGACAGUUUUUUGGUAAUCAUUGUGAGAAUACAAUAAUUAUGCUGUAUUUAUAAAACUUAAAUGCAAGAUGAAGAGUACAAUCUUCAAAUAAAAGUAAAAGCUUGAAUUAACUUGGGUUUUAAAUUACCUCAAGAGAUGCUGAACUCAAUUCAUCAGGCAGAUGCUGAUGGGAAGACUUCAAGAACUGGAAUACAUCAAGGCUAAAAUUCCAAAUCUUCGAUAUUAAGGACUCAACUUGCAGAACCUAAAGGUCAAGUGAAAGAGAAGAUAGUUAUCCAAGUGCAUUUAACUAAAGGACAACACUAAUUGACUGACAGUACCUUAAAAGAAAAUUAUAUUCUUUUAUAACAUUAUUUCCUAAAAGGGCACCCAUAUAUAGCAAUUUUCCACCUAAAUAUGAGCGAACAUUCAAGAAUCAGCACUUAGGGGCUAAACUUAUUCCAAAAGCUAUACAUUCCAACAAUCUCUUAGGACAAACAUGAUGAUGUUCUAAUAACCAUAAGAAAUUAGAAGAAAAUGUGAUCAUAGACCAUAGUGCAGAAAACAUCCACAAGAAUUAACUGUAAAAUGACAGCAAUAAUCUACAACAUGCAUCUCAUAUGAAAAUAUUAAUGUUCAGAUGGGUAAUUGAUUAAAUCUUCACGAUAUAAGGUGAAUGUCAAUGCCUAAAUGUUUACCUUAGGUACUUCUUUUCCAGUCAUAAGUGGACUAGAAUUGCUAAGUGAAGAUGUGAACUCAAGUAACUAGUAACUUACAAAGUAAACUUUACUCAAAAGGGGUUGCCAGCUCUCGAAUUGCUCUCUCAAUUCUUCUAUAGAGAGACUCAAUCCUUCAAAUGCCUUACCAAGCACUUUAUCAGAAGUAAUUUCUGAAUCAAUAACUGCGCUAAGAAUUGGCUUCAACAACUUUAGUAUCUCUUCUGCUCUCUGGUAAAACUUCUGAACUGGUUCUGAGUUAAUGUUCUCAAAAGAUGACAAAUUUAAAAAUGAGGAAAUGUUACCGAGAAGUGCUUUUAACAAAGAAAUCUCCAUAUGAUCUGGGUAACAAAAAAAGUCAGAGAGAUCGCACGUAAGAAAGAGCAGAAGGAGAAAAACUAUAAGAAUAUAAUAAGCAAACAAAAGAUGCAAGUAUCUUUGUCGUGAAACAACAGGGAGAAAACUUUGGGCCUAAUUACUUUAGUUUAACAACAUAAUUCCUUUCUCAGCAUUCAAUUUAACCUAAAGCAAAAUAUCAAUGAACUAGAGCUUAUUCUGCCAACAUAACAGUUAUUUCAUAACCGAACUAAUACAGGAAAAAAUGCAUGAACUCAUUUGCAGAAGUUUGGAGGGUGAAAAAAGUGAAGCCAGAAAGUCACUUACAACAAGGUACAUACCGUGUUUCAUAAAUUCUAACAGCAAAAUCCUUUCUCAAUAAUGGAUGACGAAUCCUUUGGAAACCAUAUUAUUCCAAAAAACUCAAGAAAACCCUUUUGAACAUCAGCACCAUAGCUCAUGUAGCACACUAUCUUGAUAACAAGAACCAGACAGGUUCUAGAAAUCCACUUUUGCCAACCAGUAAUCCCACUGUAGAAUCAAAAUUUUAGAUCAAGCUUGAUUGAAACUUAAAAUAUUAAGAGCACGAACAAAAAAAAAAAUUUAAACCAUCAAAUAUAAUAUUUACCACCAAAACACUCACAGCAAUUACAGCAAAGUUUCCUUAAAAAGUUCAUUAUGCUGAUAAUUUUCCUAGCAUCCAUGAAAUGUAACAAACGCAAACCUAAAAGAAAUAACCAAGAGCAGCGACCUCUCCACAUUAAACAUAACACGAUCCCCAUUCACCCACUACCAAAGAGAGUUACUUGACUAAAAACAAGCCAAACCCUUCUCAGAUUAGAUAAAAUGAAUUUGCCUUUACUCCAAUACUUCGUAAGCUUCUGUACUACCUGCAGUCCCUCUUCACUACUGCCCUAAUUUCUAGGAAAUCAACAAUUAGUUAUUUGGAUAUAUUUCUCCUAUUGCACAUCAGACACACCUUUUAGAAAAGAAAAAAGACACUAUUAGAACAAAAUAACCGGAUAAGACUACUGGGAUAAAGAGCCAUCCUAUACAAAUCAAUCAGUUGAUGCUUCAAAUCAAGGACAUAAAGGCCUCAACAAGAAUUACAAAAACAAACAUAAAAUGUCGUGGGAACCAUGGUCAAGUUCCACAUGCUACUAGAUGAAAACAAGCGCGCUGUAAUGAAGCUACAAAUUUACCCAAACCAUUACUUCCAAAACCUAUCAGAAAUGGUUUCUAAUAUCAUUUAUAUUUCUUAGUUUAUAAUUUACUUGCUUUCCAAGUUCCCAAUAACAGAAUAGUAAAGUCACCACUUAAUCAAAUCGUUUUAGAACUUAAUGAUUUUGGCACUCCUGCAUAUUAGUGUCAUACUCGUUAAAAAAAUUAAUUUGUUCAUUGAACAAAUAUAAGCUGUUUUUCGCACUUUCCCAGCAGCAAGGCAGAAAAAUAAAUGAAUAAAACUUAACCCUAAAACCCCAUCAGUGGUCCUUCAAAUAUAAUUUAUCCAAAACACCCACUUAGCCUUUCAAAAUCAUACUAUGAAACAAUAUGAUCAUAAAGGAAGUAAUUAGAUCAAAUGAGUUUACUUAUUAUUUCAAAAAAAAUACCCAACUCCAAAUAAGUAAACAACAACACAAAUGCAUAUAUAAAAACCAAAAAGAUAAUUGAACUCAACAAGAUAAAGAGAGAUUUCCAAAGCCAAAGAAAAAAUUUAGUACCUUAAUGCAGCUUUGAAUUUUGGGUUUUUUUUCCUUCUUGUUUAUUGAUAUCGCUAAUCUUUCCAAAAAGAAAAAAUAAAUAAGUCCCAGAUUUCGCUAUCCUGUUGCUGGGUCUUCAGGCCAUUCUUUUUCCUUUUUCAAGCUUUUUUUUUUUAAUUUUUGGGGAUUAGUUUCUUUUUUUAAUUUAUUUAAUCGUUUUGCUGGCGUUGCUUAGUUGGAGAUUGGCAGAUUCUCGUCGUUUUGGAAUUUCUUUAUGGGUAUUUUGACUGGAAUUUUAGAAUUUAUUUUCUUUUAUACUUUUAUGAUUGGCCAAAAGUAGUAAUCCUACUUCAUGUAAUAAAUAACUAAAUAUGCUUACAAAUAAAAGAAUUUUCAUUAAAAAUACCCUUAUAUAUAAAUUUUAUGCAUUUAAUUUGCCACUAAUUUUAAUCUAAUUGCUACAGUUAUCAAUCUUAUCAUCCCCGCUGAUUUUAGCUUUAUUGGAACCAAGCUGAUAUCCAUCUAAAUGGAUCCUCUUAAAAUAUAGGCAUAAUGACUUGAAUCUCUAAUUUUACAAAAAAGAAAAUUAUUUUUACUAUUUAUUUAAUUUUUCGUCUUUUUUAUCAAAUCUCUUCAAAAUAGAUAGAAAAGUUAAUUUUUUUUUUAAAAUUUUGUUUAUGAUACAUACAUAUAGAUUGCCACAUGAAUGACACGUCAACAAUGUUAACUUUUUAUUUAUUUUGAGUAAUUUGACAAUAAAUACAAAUUCAAGAGUUAAAAUGGCGAAAAUUUAUAUGGGAUUAAAAUAAAUUUUUUUAAAUUAGAGGAUCAAUAUGUUAACUUAUUUAAUAAUUUAAAUAUUAAUAAAUUAAUAAAUAUUUUAAAUUUUAAUUAAAUCAUUUUUACCGUAUUCAAUAUACAAUAUGUAAUCAAUACAAAACAUCAUUAUACAAAAUAAUAAUUAAUUGAAAUAAUUAACAUAGAAAUUAUUUUAAAAAUUCAAAUAAAAUGCUAAUAAAAAAAUUUAAUCAUUAUUAAACCAUUUGUAACUAUGAAAAAAUUCAAAAUUUUAACAUUUUAUUUUCUGAGUAAUAUAUAUUUUAUUUAGAGUAGAUUAUUCAAGUACAAGCAAUACGAAAUAUUGGUGUUUCAAUCUUUUGAAAGCAGUCGCAAUAUUAAUAGAUAUUUUAGAAUCAAAGAAUAUGAAGAAAAAAAAAGCAAUUUGUUAAAAGCAAUCCUAAUAUUAGUAGAAAUUUCUAAAAUCAGAUUUACAAUAAAUAAAUAAAAAAAAACAAACAAAUGCAACAGUAAAUUGAAAUACAUGUUUUGUUGAAAAGCUGGUUCAUGUAUAUCCGGCUUGGACAAAGUUUGAGGUAGAUUUUCAAAAUUACAGUGUUUGGUUCCUUGAAAUGGUUGAAAAGAAUGUUUUUGUUAAGAGUCUCACUCACUCCAAUCCUCUAUAUCCAGCAAGAUAUGAUAAAUCUAUUGUUUACAACACUGUUGUUUCAAACAGUAAUCCCUCUAGGAGGCUUUCAUCAAUAUUGGCAUUUGGUAGUAGGUGUAAGGUGUUUCGAGCUUUCUGAUACCAUGCCUUGCCAAGGGUGUCUAAGAUCGACUUCUUUGAUUCGAUAUGCCGCUUUAGGGAGUAUCAAACAACGAAAAGCCUCGAGAAACAAGGUAAAUUAUAAAUGCAAGAUUUGCGCCUGUAAAGGCAGACACUAUGCUUGUGAACAUUUGGCCACUCACUUCGGAGGAGAAGAAAUUGAGUAAAAGAUACCCGUUGAUCACGAUCACCAGCGCUGCCACAAUCCAUGCCACUGUCUGCAGAAGAGAGGGGAAAACGUAAACAAGGCGAAUUCUUUAUUGACAGGAUCUACAUGCAGUAACCACAUUACUUUGAGUGUUGAUAAGGCAAUCAUCACUCACUGACAUUUCCUUUUCUAUGCUUAGUAGGGAAAAUAUUGAUGAACUGAAGCAGGUAUGAAGAUGUUGAUCACCAAAUAAGUGGAACUUAUAAAAUAGCAUGAGUCUAUAGUUUGCGUGAUGGAACGGUACAAGCACUUAGUUCAUGACUAGGUGUAGAAAAAGAGCUAGGUUAUAUCAAUGGCUUCAAGGAAUCCCAGUAUAACAGUGUAUAUGAAUGGAAAAUGUAAUGAAACUAGAACUCUCAAGAGGUAGCUUUUAGACAACAAAAGUUGUACAUUGUCCCCUGCUAAAAGAUGGAAUGGAAGAAGUUCUAACUGCUAUCAGGGUCGCUACAUCGUUUUCAAUGAACCGAUUUCGCAUUUAUAUAGCUCAUGCCACAGUCAGUGGCAGGAGAGACGGGUUAAUGUAUUAGCAAGGUGCAACACAAGGAGAAUAGCAGCAUACCUUGAGUACAUGGCCAAUUCUGAAGGCACCCAUGAUUUGUUCUUUGGAUACCAGACAAAGAAGUGGGAUAAGAGCAAAAGGGAUCUGAAAUGACUGAAGCACAUUAAGCCAUUCGUUCAAUGUAUCAAGGGCUGCUUCAGACGAAUCGAAAACAAGAGCAACUAUAAUAGUAGGAAUAAUUGCACAACUCCUUGUGAUCAAAGCUCUUACCCAUUUUUUCAACUUCAGCUUCAAGAAGCCUCCCAUGAUGAACUGCCCUGCAUAAGUGCCUGUAAUAGUGCUACUUUGUCCAGCUACUAACAACCCAAUAGCCCAAAUAUACAAAGUGGGGAGUAACCCGCCUCCAUAUUUUUCUUCAAGAUACUGGCCUGCAUUCCCAAGACCAAUACCAGUGGCUAUUUCUGUGUCAUAAAAUGCUUUAGCAAAGACAGUGGUAACAAACAGGUUGAUUAUAAAUGAAAUUAUAAGUGCAGCAGUCGACUCGAUCGAGUAAUAAUUGAGAGCUUCUUGCACCUGGCCUUUCUUGUUACGAUCGAUUUCGCGUGAUUGCACUAGAGCAGAGUGCAAGAAUACAUUGUGAGGCAUAAUAAUGCAGCCCACAACUCCCACAGCCUGCUUGAUGGUUUUGGAGCUGAGUUUUGGAACCGAAACACCUGUGAAAAUAUGAAACCAUUUGAGCAUCAGUGAACUGCAAUACUAAAUGAAAUUUAUUGAGAUAUAUGAAGCAUGGAAUUUGCUACAAUGGAGCCGAGUUAGUCACCGUGAAGAAGCUCGGUGCCACUUGGUUUUGUUUCACCGACCAUCCAAGCAAAUGAGACGGCCAUUGUUGCAAUAAGGACAGCAAAAAAUGCUUCCAGCUUCCUCACUCCAUAGUUUUCAAGAAACAAGAAGAUAAAACUGUAACAAGCCAAAGAAAACGAAGAACCAGGUGAGCAUACAAAAUAAACCGAAAACCUUGAAAAUUCAGACAUCGUAUAUCAUAAAGAAGCAACCUUUAAUGCACACAAAUACUUCUAACAACAAUAAUAAUAACUCCAAAUAUCAACAAGAACACUAACCAAUCACUAGCCGUAAUAAGAACUCCAGCCCACAAAGGCAAAGCACCAUUACUCAAAAUCUUAAUAGCAAUAACACUUCCAAUGACUUCCUGUAUAUCAGCUCCAACCAAAGCCAGCUCUGCCAUCACCCACAAAACCAUCCUAUCCCAAGUCGGGUACUCUUCGCUACAAAGCUCAGCCAAGUGUUUCCCUGUCGCCACACCAAGCCUUGCAGCCAACAACUGAACUAACAACCCCAUAGCCGUAGCCCACAUCAACAGCCACAGUAAAGAGUAACCGGCUAUAGCUCCGGCUUGGAGAUCGCCUUCUAAAUUCCCAGGGUCCAAAAACGCUAUUGACAUUAAAAAACCGGGUCCGGUGAAAAGCCAAAGCUUUUUCCAGGAAAAAGGUGGGACGACACCCAGUGAAGCUUCAUCGUCUGGUUCGUUGAUUCCAAGGAUGUGGACCUUUUCACCGGAGUCGUAGGCAACAUCCUCGUCCGAGUCUUGAUCGGAUAGUAACGGAACCUUAUUGUCUUCCGGUUGCAUGUUGGGGUGUAGGCAGCGUCUAGUGGAGGGUGCUUUUGGCUUUUGGACUUGGUUUGAACAAAACUAAAACGAAAAGGACAACUACCGUUCCUUCCCACCAUUGCUCGUGGGCUUUCCUUUUUCGCCUUUAGUGCCUUCACUUCUUUUUUUUUUUUUUUUUUUUUACCAUAUACUAUAUAUUUAUGGGAUUCUUGGUAAUUUGCCACAUACAUAAAUGCAAUGGCUAGCAAAUUUCUAGAAUAAAAAUGAUAGAAUUUAAACUUCAGCAUAAAAAUUGUAAAAUUUCUUUAAAGUAGAAAGGUUUAAUCGAAUCAAAUUUUUAAUUUUAAAUCCAAUCUUACAUUUGAGUUUUAAUCUAUUUAUCAGGAAAUACGUUAAAAUUAUUAUAUUAAGUUCAUUAAUGUAACAUUUUGAAAUAAAAAAAAAUUACUCACUUAUAAUCAUUUAAAAGAAAUUGUAAUAGAUUUAAAUUUAACAUAAGAAUUAACAAUAUUAAUAAUUAGAUUUAUAAUUUUAAAUCUUAAAAGUAGAGAGAUUAAAAUUUUAAAAAUAAAAAUAUAAGAACUAAAUUAUAAAUAUAUGAAGAAUAUAGAGCAUAUUUUAACAAAUUUCUUAUAGGUUAAAUUCAACUCGAUUUCAUGUCAUGACUCUGUUUUUUCUCUAUGAGCUUUUUGGAUUGAAAUAUAAAUUUUUUUAAACUUAUAGCUACAAAAUGCGUUUAAGAAAAAAAUAAAAAAAAAUAAAUUUAGCCCUUCACUAAAUUUACAAUCAAUUGAGCUUUCGAUAAUAGUCUUUAUAUUUGAUUAUGUUGACCGUUAAAAUUAAUUGGCAGACCAAUAAAAUAGUGGCACGUGUGAGUUUAUAGUUUAAUCUUAUAUUUUUUCAUUAAAAAUAUUAAAAAACAUAAAGAUUAUAAAAAAUUAGAGUAAACUAUCAAAAUAGUCACUUUUGUUUGCCUUAGGUCACAUUUUAGUCACUUAUGUUUGAAAUGUUAUGUUUUAGUCACUUACGUUAUCAUGUUGUAACAUUUUAGUCACUAAGCCAUUAACAGUGUAAUGGUAAGCUAAGGUGGCACGUUAAAUCAUCAUUUUAAAUAAAAAUUUUAGGAGAAAUUCUACAAUUGAUCCUUAUAUUUUUUUCCAUUUUGAGCAAUUUAAUUUUUUUUCUUUUAUGUUCUUUUAACUUUCUUUUUUUUUCCAUUCUCUUCUGCUUCUCCCUCUGUUUUCCUCCUUUUUUUCAUUUCUUUUAACGUAGUUUUUCCAUAUUUUUCAUUUGUUAAAACUAGUCCACAAGCUUGUCUUACUCGAAAAAAUUAAAUUGUUAAAAAAAAGUAUUGGGACUAGUUUUAACAAAUGGAAAACAUAGAAAAACUACGUUAAAAGAAAUGGAAAAAGGAGGAAAACAGAUGGAGAAGCAGAAGGAAAUGGAAAAUAAAGGAAAAAAAGAAAGUUAAAAAAUAAAAGAAAAAAAUUAAAUUGCUCAAAACAAAAAAAUACGGGGACCGAUUGCAUAAAUUAACCUAAAAUUUUUGUUUGAAAUGAUGAUUUAACGUGCCACGUCAGCUUAUCGUUACAUCGUUAACGACAAUUAACGGCUCAGUGACUAAAAUGUUACAACGCGAUAACAUAAGUGACUAAAACGUAACAUUUCAAACAUAAGUGACUAAAAUAUAACCUAAGGUAAACAAAAGUGACUAUUUUGAUAGUUUACUCAAAAAAUUAUAAAAUUUAUAAAAUUCUAAUAAAUUAUAAAAAAAAUUAAUAAAGCAUAUUUAAAAUAUUUAAAUCUUAUAAAAACUUAUAAAUAAUAAAAAUCUAAUAAAUUAUAAAAUUAUUAAAAAUUAGAAAAAUUAAAAAUUAUAAAAAAAAAUUAUUUAAACACUUAAAAGCAUAAUGAACACAUGACAUUAGACCAAUAUUUGGAUAAUGAGAAUAGUCAUCAAAUUGUUAGGAUCAAUUUCAUGUUGAGUAAAAUGUUCUUGAUCCUCUGCAAAUAAAACAAUAGUUGCAGGACCCUUUUAUUUUUAUCAAUAAAUUAUUUUUGUAAAAUUUUUAUCUCUAAUUUUCUAAGUAUAGUACAUGGACUUAAAAAGUUGAAAAGUGUAUGCUAACUAUGUUAUGAUAUAAAGUAUUUUUGGUACAAUUAGAAACUAUCAACUAAAAUUUCAUUAUCCAACAAUUACAAAUAUUAGCAUAUCAAUAUAAAAUAUUUUAACCAAGGUUUUUAAAACUGGACCAAUAGUUGAACUAACUAGGCCAUUGAUUCUACCAGUUCAAUUGUUCUGUUUAGUUCAAUUAAAUAAAUCAUUAAAAAAAUUUAAAAAUAAAAAAGUAUUAAAAAAAAGACCAAUUACUUAAAAUUUUGGCAAAAAUGUUUUUGGCAAUUUUUGAAAAUAAGUAUGAUUUUAAAUGCUUAGUUGUUGUCUUAGUCCAGUUAGUAAAUAUGAUACUUUGUAUCCGGAUCCUUCGAUCGGGUCGGGUAUAAGGUGUUAUAAUAGUGGUAGUUUAUUUAUUUAGAAUAAAUUUUAAUUUUUGGAAAUUACGAUAUUUAUUGGUUUUUUAUUGAGAGAAUUACUUUCAUAUUGAAAGUAAGUUUCGUAUUCUGUGUUUGGUUGGUAUUGCUUGAGCCCACACUCGACAUAUUUCGUGGUAUGAGGAUAGUAGAGAAUGUCAUUCGGUUGAAAAUCAGGAUCGACUUGAAUUCAACUCGCACAAAACAUGAGUACUUAUUGAUAAAAGUUUAUUACUAUAAAUAUCACAAAUUAAGUCGGUUUUAAAAAAUUUUAAACUUUCACUAUAAAUAUAAAUUGUUUUUUAAACCGGAUUCUUCCAACAAUCCUUGAAAUUCCGAAUAGCUUGUAGACAUCUGAGACUCCUACGAUGCGAAGGACUCAUGGCUAAUGCUCCCUGUGAGAUAUUGGUGCAAUUGAAGGCUUUUCCCAUAAUUUGCUAGCAAUUAUAAGGGCUUACCAACUCUCCGGAUUGCUUUCUUGAACUUGCAAGAAGGGAAUUGUAAAACUUUCAUUCCACACCCUGAUGCUCAAGUCAAACAUAUUGAAGAGAGAAAAGAGAUAAACCAUGUGAUUUGGGGACUUAUGAGAUGGUUAUAAAUGGUGAAGGGGGUUGCCAUUUAUAAGAUGAUUGGAGACAACUAGAGAUUCAAACGUUACGCUCUUAUUAAGAGCUUAAUAGGUGGUAGGUGUCAAUUUCGUGUUGGAAGCUUAGGGUGCACGAGCAUUGAAAUAGGGGAUUUCUCUCCAACAUUCCAGCGUGGGCCUUCUUAACUUUGUGGUCUUCUUCUUUGGGCCGCCUUAUGUGAUAUUGGUAAUGUAGUCUCUAAUGGACUCAAAUAUGGGGACUCAAAGAUCUAGAGUCUGAGUUGUACCCAAAUAAGUAUUUUUUGCUUGUUAUCCGUUCAGUCUUCAAAUAAUCAAAUGUUAUGUAUUCGAUAAUUUGAAAUCGUAAGAUUAAAAUUUCAAGCAAAAAUAUAAAAUUAGAUGCAAGCAUAAUCUGAACUUGUUAGGUACUUCUGUUCCACUCGACUCAAGUUUGUUUGAAAUCUAUGUUGGAUAAGGUAAAAGUACAAAGCAAGCAGAUCUAUGAGUAUACUCUGUAAAUCAAAAUGCUUAUCAAAAGCUUGUGAGUGCCUGAAUUGUUGAGACUUUGCUUCAUUCAAGCAUGUCCUCAGCUUUUCACUUCUCCUCCACUGCCAACACCCUCCAUAAACCGUAGCACUCUCUCAUUCGCCGCCGUCACCAACUUUCCACCAUCACCAGACAAGCUAGCUCUUCUUUUAGAUAAAUCCAGCUCCAUCCAUCACUUGCUCCAAAUCCACGCAGCUCUUCUCCGCCACGGCCUUCAUCAACACCCCAUCCUAAAUUUCAAGCUUCAACGCUCUUACUCUUCUCGAGGCCGUCUCGACUAUUCACUCGCUCUCUUCAAUCGAACUCUCAACCCCAACAUCUUUUUCUACACUUCUAUCAUUAACGCCCACGCCCUCCAUGGUCUCUCCCAAGAAGCUUUAUUUAUCUAUACGCAAAUGUUAUUUGAAGGUGUGCAGCCUAAUGAGUUCACUUUCUCUUCCAUAUUGAAAUCUUGUUCUCUUGAGCAUGGAAAAAUGCUUCAUUCUCAAGUUAUCAAACUUGGGUUUGAUUCAGAUUUGUAUGUAAAGACAGGUCUAGUCGAUGUUUACGCGAGAGGGGGUGACGUUGGGUCCGCCCGUCUCGUGUUCGAGAGAAUGCCAGAGAAGAGUUUAGUUUCUUUGACCACGAUGCUAACUUGUUACGCGAAACACGGGGAGCUUAAGGAGGCAAGGUUGCUGUUUGAUGGAAUGGUGAAGAAGGAUGUGGUAUGUUGGAAUGUGAUGAUCGAUGGGUAUACUCAACAUGGAAUGCCCAAGGAAGCUUUGGUGCUUUUCAGGCGAAUGUUGGCAGCGAAAGCUAGGCCUAAUGAAAUCACUAUACUAACUGUUUUAUCAGCUUGUGGUCAGCUUGGAGCUUUAGAGUCAGGCAGAUGGCUUCAUUCCUAUAUGCAAAAUAAUGAUAUUCAAGUGAGUGUUCGUGUUGCUACUGCUUUGAUUGAUAUGUAUAGCAAAUGUGGGAGCCUGGAGGAUGCAAGAUUAGUGUUCGAUAAGAUUUAUUAUAAGGAUGUUGUUGCAUGGAAUUCGAUGAUUAUAGGGUAUGCCUUGCACGGUUUCAGCCAAGAUGCAUUGGAGUUGUUUCAUGAAAUGUGCAGGAUUGGUUUGCGCCCUACUGAUAUUACUUUCAUUGGUGUUUUGGGUGCAUGUGGUCACGCUGGUUUGGUCAAAGAGGGAUGGAGUUUUUUCAAUGCAAUGAGAGAGGAGUAUGAGAUCGAACCCAAGAUCGAACAUUAUGGAUGUAUGGUAAACCUUCUUGGUCGUGCUGGUCGAUUAGAAGAGGCAUAUGAGCUUGUGAGGAACAUGAAGGUAGAGCCUGAUCCCAUCUUGUGGGGAGCUUUGCUUGGGGCAUGUAGGUUACAUGGUAAUCUUGAAUUGGGAGAGAAAAUAGCAGAGUAUCUUGUCAGCCACAAUCUUGCUAAUUCAGGGACUUAUAUUCUUCUUUCCAACAUGUAUGCUGCAAAAGGCGAUUGGGAAGAGGUGGCGAGGAUAAGGACCUUGAUGAAAGACAGUGGAGUGCAGAAGGAGCCUGGUUGUAGCUCAAUUGAAGUGCACAAUAGGGUUCAUGAGUUCCUUGCUGGGAAUUUGAAACAUCCAAAAACCAAAGAAAUAUAUGAGAUGUUAGAGGCAAUGAAUGGUUGGCUCAAAGCUCAUGGUUACACCCCACAAACAGAGAUUGUACUACAUGACAUAGGGGAUGAACAAAAAGAGCAGUCACUUGAAGUUCACAGUGAGAAGCUGGCGCUUGCAUAUGGUCUAAUCAGCACUCAACCGGGGACCCCUAUCAAGAUCGUAAAAAACCUCCGGGUGUGUUCAGAUUGCCAUGCCGUGACCAAGUUGAUUUCUAAGAUCACCGGCCGUAAAAUUGUAAUGAGGGAUCGGAAUAGGUUCCACCAUUUUGUGAAUGGUUCAUGUUCUUGCGGGGACUACUGGUGAUCAAUAAAAAAGUUAGACCAACAUUCUAGUUUUGUUGAAAUACAGAAGCUAGAAUUGAAUUAGACGCUCAAAACUGAUGCCCUUUGGUUUAGUAAGACGAACUUGCCGUAGAAUGGGAUUAGGCCAUCUUAUUUUAGGCGUCUUCUUGAGGUCAUUGAUUCAGUGUUUUAAAUGCGAAAGGGUGGGAGAGAAGGAAAUUUACAUGACUGAACCAUCGAGGAUGAAUCCAACUUGUAUAUUGAUUUUUAUUUUUAAAGAUUUUAAUAUGUGUAUAACCAUAUUUAAUAUGUCCAUGUAUUUGUUGGGCUCGAGUGUUUUAUUUAAAGAACAAAAAAUCUAGAUAAACGAAAUUAAACUAUGCUAUCGUGUGUAUAUAGAAUCUAAAAUAAAGUUUUAUGCAAAGAAGGAAAUAAUUUUAGGUCUCGAUUCGCUAGUAUAUUAUACUAUUAAUCACAAUAAAUAAUAAUUUCAUCCAAUUUUACAAUUAAUUUAAUUUUAUUAUUUUUAUUUAGCCAUUACUUUUAGGUAUAAUGCCAAAAUUUUGUUAACAAAUACAUUUUCUUUCAAUUUAGUCCUUUUCUUUUUUUAAAUUAAAUUUAGUUUUUAACUUUUUAAAAAGAGUCGAAUUUGACUAUUAACUUUUCAAAAAGUCAAAUUAUUAUUUAAAACGAAAAUACUGACUAAAAUAUUAAAAUUUUAAAUAUGAUAACCUGUAUGGCAAUUCACAUGUACUUCAUAUAUUUUUUAAUUUUUAUGAAAUUUUGUUGGAUUUUGAAUUUUUUAAUAUUAUUGUAAUUUUUAAAUUAUUUAAAUAGUGCAAUGUUAGCAUGAAGUACAUAUGGACUAUUACACGAGUUACCACGCUGACAUUAUUAAAAAAUUAAUAUUUUAGUUGAUAUUUUCAUUAAAAAAUUAACUUUUUGUAAAUUUUAAUAUUCGAUGUACCAUUUAAUUUUUCCUUUGUUUUUUUUUGUUGCUUUUGUAAAAAUAAAAAUUCUCAUAGAAUGGAAAUCAUUCUAAUCUCAAAAUUUAAAAUUAAACAUUUAUAGUAUUAUGUUUUAAUUUUUUAAUCAUGAAAUGUAAUUAAAAGUAAUUUAAAUAAUAUAUACAAUUAGAGCUGAGCAAAAUUCGAUUCGAUUUGAAAAAUUCGAUAAAAAAUUAAAAAAUUGAAUUAAAUAGUUCGAGUUAUUUGAGUUAAUCAAGUUAUUCGGAUAAACUCGAAUAAAAAAAUUAAGUUUUUCGGUUUAACAUGAAUAUGAAUUAUACAAUUCGAGUUAUCCAAAGAUCCGAAUAAGAAAGGGCAAAACUACGUCGUUUUGAUAAAUGUUUACCUUUUCUAAAAUUAAAAGUCAAAAUUAUUAAGUUAAAAGGAAAAAUUACGUCCUUUUGAUAAAUGUUUACUCAUUAAGUUAAAAGACAAAACAAUUAUAUUGUUUAUGUAGUUAAAUAAUUUUGUAUUUCAUCUACUAGUUAAAUAAUCGGUCCAUGUAAACAUAACAUUGAGUAUAAAUAAUAUGAUUCGUUAACUCGACUCAAUUCGAUUAGAUUAGAUUAAAAUAAAAAAUUCAAAUUGAAUUCAAUUGCUAAAAUGUAAUUCAUCAACUCGACUAACUCAAUUCAACUCAACUCAACUCAACUCAACUCAACUCAACUCAAUCAAAUACUCACCCCUAAAUACAACUCACCUAACAUCGUCCAAGUAAAAACAACAAAAACUAGUGUAUAUAUGCACAAUAAACUGGUCAUAGAAUGAAACAAAAAUGACCGAAUCCAUUUUUUAUUUAUUAUUAAUGGUGGGAUGUCAUUAAAGUUUUCAUCGCCAUAACUUCUUUACUUUUGUAAAUGUCAUCCCGCCUAUAUGGUCAAGCAUCAUUUUCCAAAAUGGGUAAGUUUUCAUUUUCUUUUUUGGGAUAAUGCGAUAUUUGCCCCCUUUACUUUAGUAAUAUUUUCAAAUGUGAUAUCUAAAGUUUCAAAAUGUCCAAUGUGUCCCUUGUAUUUUACUUCUGUCUUCUAAAAAGAUAACGGGGUCUAACUACGUUAAUGCUUGACAUGUUAGGACACAUGGGCAACUCUUAUCAAGCCACAUUUCACAUUUUUGCAAAAAAAAAAAAGCCAAGUCAAGUCAAGGGGCUUUGAAACAAUUUUACCCUUUUUCAAGGCAAAAAAAAAAGAAAGAAAAAAAAUAAAACUUCAUUAAAAUCUUUUUGUAAUAUGCUUCUAAUUUUAAUCCCAAAACCCAUUGAUUUCCCUUUUUCCAUAACUAAAAAGAGUCCUCAUUUUCAAAUGCAAACCUUCAUUUUCCACCACCACUAUCACAGAGCUUGAGCCUAUUUUCACCAUUGUCAAGUCCUUCACCCCAGCUGUGGUGGCAAAUCUUGUUCCAAGUUUUGACUUCCUUGGCAUUGCCAUUGAUGGCCCUGGUAAUGUUUUCAUUUCAGAAUCUUUAGGGGUUUCGAUUUCAAACACCCAUUUUUAUUUAUGAAGAGAACAUCCAACUUUUAGGAUUUUAGUUUCAAUUACUAUUUGGGGAAAUAAAAUUUAUAAAUUAAGAUUUUGAUGGGUUUCGAUUUGGAAAAAUUGAUUUUGUGGGGAUUCUUCUAACACCUCAAUACCUGACCCGAUCGCCAGACUCGAGAUAUAAGAUGUCACAUUUGUUGCCGAAGCAACUACGAUCGGUCACAGUCAAUUUAUACCAUUUAAUGUUUAAAUUCAACCAAAAUGUAGAUUUAAUACAAUAUACAAACAUUUCCAGGUCAUACACGAGCUUACGAAAGCUCAAAUAGUAACCCAAAGUCAAAGAAGGACCAAAUUGUAAAAGUUUCAAAAUACAAGGUUGACAUCAUGAUGUCACCAAACAGUUUGUCACGUGACGGCACCAGGCCACUCGACGUCGCAGCGCCACUUACUGUGUUGACCUCGUCGAGACGACGGGGUUCCUCGUCUCUUAGUGACAUUAUAGAUCAUUUCUCGUCGCGACGUCCCGUAUUGUUUUGACAAUUUAUACAGAACAAUAACCUGCAAAUUUUCCAGCCAAGUUCUAACACAUUCAAAUUUUAUACCAACUAACAAAUACAUUCAUCUAGCAGAAACUCACGUACUUAACAAUCUAGUUCAACAAUAAGCAAAUGCUUUAUACCCUAUAAACUAACAAUCUAAGGCAUUACUUUUAAAACAUACACGUUCAUAUGAAAAUCAUCAAGAACUUUAAUAUUGCAGCACAUAUACAUAUUCAUACUAAAUUUAAGUCAAUUUACAAACCAUAUCUAAUCAACCAAGCUUAUACAUUAGUCUUUUGAACCAAAAUUGUUUAUAAGCAUAAUAUGUGUAAUAUCCCGAAAAUUACUACUGUAAUACCCUAAAAAUUACUACAGUAAGAAAAUAGGUAUCCUUGAUAGUAAAAUAAGAAAAUAAAGUGACAAAAAGGAAAAUUUUGAGUUAUGGCAAUAUUGGGAAUUAUAUUAUGACAUAUUAAUUCAAGAAAGGAUUAAAUCGCAAAAGUGAGAAAAGUUUUGUUGCCCAAGAGUAAGUACUCGAAAUUUGAGGGGUUAAAGUGUAAAUAUGAAAAAUUUGAAGGACCAAUAGUGUAAAUAUUUUAAGGGUGGAAUAAUUUAGAAACUAAGUAAAAUGGAUGAAUUAGGACCAAAUUGAAAAGGUGAAGAAUUUUGAGGGACUAAAUCAUAAUUUUACCAAAUUAAGUGAUGACUCAAGGAUGAAAUUUUUAAAGGUUAUAAAGGGCAAAAUGGUUAAUUAGAAGAGAGAGAAAUCUAGAAGGCAAUGAUGAUGUUGGUGAUAUUUUAGAUUAAUUAAAUAAAUAUUAGUUUAUUAAUAUUUUAAUUUGAUUUUUAAAUGAUAUUUUAUUAUUUUAUUAUUAUUCUAUUUGGUAUAUAUAUGGAAGGAAAGGUGAAAAAUCUUCAUAUGCAUCCAAUGUAUGAAGAGAAAAGAAAGAAAGAAACUUUUUUUUCUUUACAAUUUGGCCCUUUCACCAAAAAAAUCACCAUUUUCACUUAGAAAUCAAAAGAAUUUUCAUAUCCAUCAAGAGAGAAAGAUAACAAGGAGACAAUGGGGAGCUAGAAUAUCAAGUUAGAUUCAAGAAAUAGAAGCUGGAGGAGAGAGAAUCAAGUUAAAGAUUGAAAUCAAUAGGACAAGGUAAGAACAUCAAGAUUUCAAUAUAUUUUUAAGUUUGUUAUUAUUGAAAAAGUAUGGAAAUGAUGUUAUAUUAGAGUUUUCUUAAAUGAAGUCUUAUGUUCUUGAUAUAUUAGUGAAGGGAAAUAAAAGAAAGUGAUGGAAAAUAUUAUAGAGAAAAUGAAUAAGAAAGUUAUAAACUUAGUAAUCAACAUUUUGCACUAAAACAGUUUUAGACAGCAGCAGUAGACUAACUUCGAAAAAUCACCAUAAAUUAUGGAAAUCGAAUUAUAGGAUGAAAAAAAUUGGAAUUAAAUAUUAUUAAGUCUAGUUUCUCAUAGAAGAAACGGUGUAAGUAAUGGAAUUGUAAAUCAUGAGAUAUAAUAAAUUAUGUGAGACAAGGUCAGAAUGAAUUCGGGUUCCCCUGUUCUGAAUUUGGAAAAUCAUAAAAAAUUAGAGAAAAAAUAAUUAUGGGCUUAAAUUUAUAUGUUUAAAAUACUGAAUGAGUCUAUUUUCAAGAGAAACAAACGGAAACAUCAUCCAAAUCCUGUAUGAGGAGAUAAUUAAUUUUUAGUGAAGAAGGGUCAGAACUGUCAGACAGCAGAAUAGGGAUGACUUUAAAGAAUAAACUGUACUUAUUGGCCAAACCAAAAAUUCUGAAAGUUUUAUAGUAAGAAGAUAUAUGAGUCUAGUUUUAUAGAAAAUUAACGGAUCUCAAUUCAGAGUUACAUAGCUCAAGAUAUAAAUAAUUUUGUGACAAUGACUGAAGUGGACAGCUUUGAAUGAACAAAUAAAAAAAUAGUGAAAUUAUAGAUAAUGUUACAUAUAAGCAUGUUAUAUACACUAAGGAUGUGGAAUGUAGAGGAGGAGGAAAUUAUAUGAUUAUUCAACUAGCAUGAGUUUUCAUUAAAAAUGGCUAAUCUGCAUGUUUUAGGUUCAGGGACUAAAUUGAAUAAAAGUAAUAUUUUAAGGGUAAACUUGUAAAAAUGUCAAAAAUGACCAAAUUGCAUGAAAUGAAUUGUUUUAUUAUUUAAAUUAAUAAAUUUAAUGAAAUAUUAAUUUAUAUCAAGAUUGAGUGGAAAUUCGAAGGAAAAUAGAAAAUUACCAAAAUAUCCCUGAAUUUUGGUAUUUCUGCAAUUUAGCCUGGUAAGUUCGUGUAACUUGAAUUAUAUUCUUAGAUGAUUGAAAUCUAUAUAUUGGAUUGAGAAAUUGAUUUGAAUUGUGAACAUGAGAAAUUGUGAAUUGGAUGAAAUGGAAAUGAAGCUUUGAAUUACAUGAGUAAAUAUCGGGUCUCGUAGGCCCUAUUUGUUAUGAAUAUAAUAUUUCGAGGAUAUGCUGUAAAGAAUUAUAAAAGCACGUUAACAAUUUAAAAGUUUUAAUUCGGAUGAAAUUUUGUAACUUGGUUUAAUACGUAUGCAAAUGUAUGUCUUCUAGUAAUGUCUCGUACCCUAUUCCGGCGUCGAAUACGGGUAAGGGAUGUUACAAUGUGACAUCGCCAGAUUCGGUCAUAACGUUUAGACCGGGUUUGGGGUGUUACAAUAUGUAUUAAACUUGACUCAACCUAGGUACAUGCCUUAUAACCGACAAAAGAGAUUUAUACAAACAUUGUUGAGUCAUCACAAUUCAAAGCUAAUUUUACAUUAUCAUUAAGUUAUACUAUUUUCAAUUUUAUUUAAUUUAGUCCUAUAUCUCGAUAAUCAAUCAAAUUCAUACCAAUGCAAUUUGAUCAAUCAUAUUUCACUUACCUCAAUAUCGUACCAUGCAAAAUAACAUAAAUAUGCAACAAUACAAGUAAUUCAAAUCAUAGAAAUACAAACGAACACAUGAGUUAUUCGUCGUUGGCUUUCACCUUUCCUCUCCCUCUUGACGUUCCCGUGUCGUCUUUAACUACAAAUAAUAAUUCGACAAUACAUAAUAUUAAAAGCUCAAAUCAAAAUUAAUUACAAGGUCACACAUAUUUUCCAAUUUAUUCAAUUCAGUCCCUAAAAUCGAGGCUAACCUAACUAUCAAUUUAAAGCUCUAAACUGAAAUACAAUUUCACUAUUACCCAUUAGAGACCUCCAAUUUCUUAUUGAUACUAUCAAAUUUACAUUUUAUUCACUUUAGUCUCUAAUGUAAAAACUAUUAAUUUAGCUUCACAAUUUAGUUCUUUUUCACAUCUAAGCUUAAAACCUAUCAAUUUAACACCUAAAACUUUAAAUUCUCAAUAAUGACAUCUUUCAAAACUUUAACAUUAGUAUAUGGGCUAGCUAAAUCAAGCUCCCAUGACCUCAAAAACAUUGUAAUACCUAAUUAGUGACCAAAACUUUGAAAACCCUUGGAGGCUUUUGUUUUCCUCUUCAAUGGAGGUGGACGGUUUUUAGGUGGAAGAUGAAAGAAAGUUUCUGUUUCAUUCCACUGAAUUUGGAUAUAUAUAUAUAUACAUGAUUAAGUUUUAAUUAAUCUUAGUUUAAUUAAACAUAGUUUAUUUUAAUUAAGUUUAAUGCUUAAUUAACCUUACCAUCCAGUAGCUCUUAAUUUGACAUGGUAUAAUUGAAAUUUUAGACCCUUGGUUAACUGCAAUUUAAGUCCCUAAAUCUUUGGCCAAUUAAAAAAUUAUAGCGAUAAGACUUUUACAAUUUAUCCCUAGGCCCUAAUUAAACACAAUUUCGACUAAAUUACUUAUCCAGAAUUCAGUUCACCUAUAUAGUAACUUCUUAACUUUUUUUAUUUAAUAUUUACAGACUCGGUUUACGGAAAUGGAGUCCCAAAACCAUAUUUUUUGACACCACUGGAAAUUGGGUCGUUACAGUCUUCUUCACUUUUCGGAUGAAACCAAAAAAGAUUAUGGCCUAUAUCUCCAUGAAAACUUGAGAUUUUGAAAGAUGGGUUUUCAAAUAGGGAAGAAGAUUGCUUGGUUUUUUUUUCUUUUUUUUCUUUCACUGGAUGAGAAGUGACAAAAAUGAAACCAAAAGCUAAACCUUAACGAUUACAAAUUGGGGAUGGUUAUUGCCAAAUCAAUUUUUUUAAAGAGAAAAUUUUGGGGAAGAGAUAUUGACAUUGUCAUUGAUGAAGAAGAUGAAAUUUGGGAUUUUUAUUUGAUUUUAGUUAAAAUAAAGGUUUGGUAUAAUUGUGUUUUAGUCCUUCAAAUGACUGCAUAAAAGAGUGAUGUGGCAAAUUGAGCCACAUGUUAUUUCCCAAAAAAUGUCAACCAUUUUCUUUUGCCUUCGGAAAUAAAAUGGUAAAAUUGUUAUCAUGCCCCUAGAUUUGAAUUGGCUAACAUUUUUCUUGCAAAAAUUGCCACAUGUCGAUAUUUUAGUGGUUCACGUGUAAUGCCACAUCACACUUUAACGCCAAUAGACUCAAGUACCUUUUUAGAAAACGAAAGUAAAGUACAAGAGGUACAUUGGACAUUUAGAAACUUUAGGUACCAAAUUAAAAAUUUUACUAAAUACAGGGGCGAAUAUGCCAUUAUCCUUUUUUUAUAACUUCCAUUUUUGAAAUACUUUAUAGACCAAUAUGUAGUUUUAUUUUAAUCCCAAAUGGAUCAGGUUUCACCUAUUAUGGGUAGAUUCGACUUAACUUUUUCAACAAAAAGUAUAUCAAAUGGAUAUCAGAUAAAGCUUUAACUAUCGCUUCAUACAAGUAAAGACAAAAUUAUAUAUUUAUAAUCACAAAAAAUAUUUAAGUAUUAUUAUAAAAAAAAUAAUCCAUAAAUGAACAACUGUUAAUGCUCAUUUUAAAAUUUUACUAUUAAAGUUUAUUAAUUACAAAUUAACAUUAUACUUUUAAAUAAUUUUUUUAAGUAAUGAAGUUUUUUUUAAAUUUUAAAUAAUAUAUUGUCAUAAAUAGCAAUUGAUUGAAGUCUAAAUGAUUUGACUUUUAAAAUAUAUUUAGUAUUUAAAAUUUUUUUAUAGAUAUCUAAAGUAUCCAAACGUUAAAGAUUUUAGUCUAAAAUUGUGCUAUUAAAAAGAACUCAACGAAUUAAAUUAUGCCAUGUGUUUUUGUUUUAUAAUUUCAUAAAUAUUAUUGUUAAAAUUGUUUUCCUAGUAUAUUAUUAUUAUUAUUAUUAUUAUUAUUAUUAUUAUUAUUAUAAUUUCAUAAAUAUGAUGCCCACGGAUGACGACAUUGACGAGAAUACCAAAAUCGUUGAGUUCUUUUAUUAAGCCGAUGGACUUCAAAGGAUUUAUGAUCGUCGGAAUAAAAGGAUUUGGAGACAAAAACAAUCAUUAUGAUAAGAAUCUUGAAACCCACAAUUUAUCUAUAUAUUUAUUUUUUUUAAAAUAAAAUAUUUAAUUAUUAUAUAUAGACGAAGAUGAAUAAUUACUCUGAAUUUGAUGAAGAUGAAAAUUUUGAUUUUUUAUUAAAAAUAUUUAAUUAUUUCAUUUAUAUAUUUAAAAGUUUAUAUAUAAUUUUUAUAAGAGAACUCACUAAAAGGGCUCCUAAAUCAUCUUUGGAUUUUUCCAUAGUUUUCUAAAAACAAAAAUGCUUGGGUUUUUUUUCUGUUGGAUAAAAGGUGGAGGAGGGGAUGUGAGAAGGGAGAAUUAAAUAAUAUACUUUUUAUUUGGUCAAAGGUUGUUAAAAUUCUUUUAAACUUUUUUAGAAAAAUUUCAACUAAGUUUCUAUAUUUUUCUUCAUUCAAUUAAGUACUUGAACAAUAGGAUUAUAAUUAAUUAAAAAUUUGACUCUUAACCGUUACAGAAUAACGAUAGUCUUUUUUCUGGAUAUUUUACCACUUGACACACCAUAAUUAUGCCCAGUGACAAAAAUUGGUGUUUUAUAUUUAAAAUCAUUACAAAUUAUAAAAAAAUUAUAAAAAAAAUCAUAGAAACUAUAGAAAAUCAUAAAAAUUUAAAAAUUAUAAUAUAAACGUUUUAAAAAAUUAUAAAAAAAUAAAAGUGCAAAAAUUAUAAAAUAUAGAAAACUAUAAAAAUUAUUAUAAAUGAAAAAAUAUAAAAUUAAAUAUAUUAAAAAUAUAUAUUAUAAAAAAUAUAAAUCAUGAAAAUAUAGAAAAAAUUGUAAAAAUUAUGAUUUUUUUAAAUAUAGAAAUUUAUUAGAAAUAUUAAUAAUUUUUUUAAAAAUAUUAUAAGAAACAUAAAAUUAUUAAAUAUAUUAAAAAAAAAAACUAACGUUCUCCAUUUACACACUAACCGUUGUUAACAAUACAAUACCAAUUAAAAAUUAUGAAAUAUUUUUUGAUCCCUAAAACUAUAUGCUAUGUUCGUCCACCACAAACCUCUCCAAACCUUAUGCCCUAUGUUCGUCCACCACAAACCUCUCCAAACCUUAUGCCCCUUUUGUCCAUGGAUGAUGACAAGAAAGUGAUUUGAGAUGUAAACUAAGGGUCAGUUCUUCAUUGCUUAAAAAAAAGUACUUUUGACUCCAAAAACAUUUUUGAAAGAAAAGCUGUGAAGAACAAGCUGCUUUUGGCUGAAAUUUUUAGCUUUUCAGAAGUACUUUUGAAAAUCAAUUCUGAAAAGGAGCUAAAAAGGAGAAACUAAAAAUUUUAGCUUUUCCUCUCCCAAAAACACUUUUGGUGCUUAAAUACUUUUUCACCCCUCCAAUAACAUAGUAUUUUUUUCUUUCUUGGUGCUUAAUUACAAUUGUGUUAAAAUCAUUAAUUAAAAUAUAAAAAAAUUAUUUUUUAAAAUACUAAUUACAAAUAUUUAAUGGUUAUAUUUAAAUAUUUAAAAUAUAAUUUAUAUAUUCUAAUUAAAAUUUAUAAAUAAUUAAUAUUUAUUGCUUAAAAAUAUUUAAAAUUUAUAUUUCAUAUAUUAAAAUAUGAACAACAAGUUAUAAUGAUUUUUUUUAUAUUCUUACUAAAAUAUAAUAAUAUUAACUAAUUUAAAUAUUAUUUAAAUGUAUAUUUGUUACUUGAUAAUAACAUGUCUAAAAUAAACAUUUUAUUUCUCAAAAGUACUUUUUGACAGCAAUGCUAAACACUCAAAUUUUAAACCAAACUUUUCAAAAGCAAUUUUCCACAGUACUUUUCAAAAGUAAUGAAGAACUAGCCAUAAGGUGGGGAAAUGGGUUGAGAAAGCAAAUGACAAUAGAGACUAUUUGUAUAUAAAAUGUAAAUAUCUUUUUUAUAUUUUAUAUUUUUUUAAUUUUUUAUAUUAAUUUUUGAAUAAAUUUUAAUAAUAAAUUUUUAAUUUUCUAUAAUUUUUUGCACUUUUUUUGUAAUUUUCUAUUUUAAUAAUUUUCUAUAUUUUAAACAUUUUUCUAUAUUUUUAAAUUUUUUAGUUUUUCAUAAUUUAUAUAUAUUUAAAAUUUAUUAAUGUUUUUAAAAUUUUUCUAUAACUUAUAUAAAAAAUUCAUUUUUAAUAAAAUUUUUUAAAAUUUAUAUUUUUAAAAUUUUUUCACUUUAAUAUUUUUAUAUAUUUUAAAAAAAGACAUAUAUUUUUAUGAUUUUCUAUAAUCAUUUAAUAUAUUUUUAUAAUUAUUUAAUAAUUUUUAAUGUUUUUGAAUAUAAAAUACAUGUUUUUGCCACAUGACACAAUUUUGGCGUACCACGUGGCGAGAACACAUAAAAAUGACUAUAAUUAUUCUAUAAGAGUUGACCGUUAAUUUUAAUGGUCAAAAGGCUUAAUUGAUUGUAAUUUUAAAGUUCAAGGGAUUAAUUGAGUAAAAAAAGUAUAGAUACCCCAACCAAUUUUUACCUCUCAUCGGGUCAUACCCCAAUCAGUUCUCAAUUCCCGAUUUAGAUAACAUUGAAUUUUGGAAUUUUUGUUUAUAUUUUUUUUGAAUUUUACCUUUAAAGUUAACAAUGUCAAAGAUAGAAUAACUUUUUUAGCCCUCAAUAUUUAUAGAGGUGUUCAAACAAAUAUGUUCAAAAGACGGAGAGGUGAUUACCCACUUUGCCAAACUCAAAAGUCCAAACAUAUAUUCAUGGAAAAUGAAGUUAUUAAGUUAUAUUUAUUUUUUUUGGUGGAAAAGAGAAAAUUACAAGAAAUAAAAAAGUCAACUAGCCUAACUCCCCACACGGGGGUUUUCCAAACAUUCGCAGCCCUUGCCUUCCCGAGUGAGCCAACCUGGCAAGGUUAUCGGCUUCCUGAUUCUCUUAUCUAGGUAUGUAAUAAAUAUUCCAGUGUGAAGUCUGAGACAAUAACUGAAGAAUCCUCCUAAUUAGAGCUGUAUUGGAACCUCCUGUAGAACUCUCUUGAAUGGCUAUCACCACUUCAAUACUAUUAGAAUGAAUCAUGACAUUAUACAAACCACAAUCAGUUAAUAGAUUAAGACCAUCCAAUAUGGCCCACAGUUCAGCCUCAAACACUGAGCAACUUCCUAAAAACCUAUUAUAACCAAUGAUCCACUUCUCAUUUUGAUUUCUCACAACCCCUCCUACUACUGCAGAGUCGCCCUCAAACCUAACAAAACCAUCUGUAUUUAAAGAAACCUAGCCUUCAGGCAAAUUGGAGCAGGAUUUCAUAAUCCUCCCCGUAUUCAACUGACUUUGAUUGAUCUUCAAAUCAUGCUUGGCCCAACUAUAUAAGGCUCUGAUAAUAUCAAAACUGCUCUAUGGUACACCCUAAAAAUAACAAGGUUACGAUUCUUCUAGAUACGCCAGAUGAUAAUCCCAAACAGACAUUCCCAGCUAACCUCCACGAAGCAAAUAUCAUACUGAUUAAGCAAUUUGGAAGCAAUCCAUUCCUGGGUGUUACUAAAAUAGAACCUGAUAAGGCGAUUAGUAGGGAUUAGAAUAUUCCAAAUAUCUUCCGCUGUCGGACAAUCUCUUAAAACAUGUAACACAUCUUCGGAGAUAUGGCUACAAACUCUACAAACCAAACUCUACCCGAAACCCCGACGAACUCUUUCUUCACUAGUGAGAAGUCUCUGCUUAAGAAUUAGCCAAAUAAAAAACUGUACUUUUUAUAGACCUUUGAAAUUCCAAUGGAUCUUCCAAGUAUCUUCCUUCGAUUUCCACGAACUCGCCUUAAUUCUUCCAUAGGCGUUUUUAAUAGAAAAAGAACCCGUCGUUGAGCCUCCCCAAAUUAUCUUGUCUACGCUUGCCUCUGGAUGAGGUGGGGGUAUUCCAAUAAUCUUUUGUACGAAUGUCCUAGGUACCCAAAGUUGAAAUAAUUCAAGGUUCCAAUUACCAUCCACUGAAACCAUAUCACUAAGCAAAUAAUCCAAAUCAAGACUAGAGUGAUCGGGAAUCAAAUUAACAAGAGGCUCUACAUUAGGAAUCCAUGGAUCUCGCCAACACUUAACUUUUCACCCAUCCCCCACUGACCAAAACAAAUUCUCCCGUAUGAGAGGCCAAACCUUAGUAAGGGAUCUCCACAAGGAGGAACUUCUACUACAGGAUAAAUUUUAUGGUAUUUCAUCAAUUACCCCAUACUUUGCUUGUAAAACAUGUACCCAGAGAGCUUUAGAAUUAGUCAAAAUUUUAAAACCCAACUUCAUCAUGAAGGAAGUGUUGUGAUAUUGCAGCUUUCAAAAGCCAAGACCACCAUGCUUUUGAGGUUGAUAGACAUCCUCCCAUCCUACCAAAUCCAAUUUCUUACCAUUCUUUGAAGAUCCCCAAACAAAUUGACACACCAUACUUUCAAUUUCCUCGCAAAGUCCCUUGGGAAUCAGCAUAAACUGCAUAAAGUAACUAGGAAUUGCCAUAAGAAUGGAUUGAGCUAGGGUAGUCCUACCAGCAAGAGACAAAUAUCUCGAAUCCCACCCCUGUAGCUUACUUUAAACCUUGUCCACCAC
rnacentral:lncRNA from 1 species